ACGUAGGGCGCGAGCGUUGUCCGGAUUUAUUGGGCGUAAAGAGCUCGUAGGCGGCUUGUCGCGUCGACUGUGAAAACCCGCGGCUCAACUGCGGGCUUGCAGCCGGUACGGGCAGGCUGGAGUUCGGUAGGGGAGACUGGAAUUCCUGGUGUAGCGGUGAAAUGCGCAGAUAUCAGGAGGAACACCGGUGGCGAAGGCGGGUCUCUGGGCCGAUACUGACGCUGAGGAGCGAAAGCGUGGGGAGCGAACAGGAUUAGAUACCCUGGUAGUCCACGCUGUAAACGUUGGGCGCUAGGUGUGGGGGGCCUCUCCGGUUCUCUGUGCCGCAGCUAACGCAUUAAGCGCCCCGCCUGGGGAGUACGGCCGCAAGGCUA
rnacentral:rRNA from 1 species